rnacentral:lncRNA from 10 species
GUGAUCCUUCUGCCUUGGCCUCCCAAAGUGCUGGGAUUACAGAUGUGAGCCACUUCGCCCAGCCCACCGUUUUAUUUUUUCUUACUCAAAAGGAAGUGAGUAUGAGGUGAACUGCAUUAACCUAAAGUGCUGCAGAGAUAAACUUAAAGCAGGAAGCAACAUACCAUGAAUGUACUGCAAGGGAACACAUUUGUGUCAUGUGAAGAGACAUGACAAAAACAGCCCUCCUUAAAUUAUUUGUGGCAAUAGUGAUCACAUUCAUUUUAAUUUUGCCGGAAUAUUUCAAGACACCGAAAGAAACCUGGGGCUACAAAAAGGAAAGACAACUCUUUGAUCAAGGAGUUUUCAGUCGGGAGGACAACUGACUGGCAAACAACUAAAUAAAAUACAGGAAUUAACUGAAACAGGGAUGUAAACAAGAUGCAAUGGAAACAUAAGUAUUGCUUCCACGUCAGUCUUUGGGAGGACGUUCCUUGUAUUUCCAUUUGCAAAGAGAAAUAAAUAAUUGUCAGAGUUCAAA